UACGUAGGCAGCAAGCGUUGUUCGGAGUUACUGGGCGUAAAGGGUGCGUAGGCGGCUUUUUAAGUCUGGUGUGAAAUCUCCCGGCUCAACUGGGAGGGUGCGCCGGAUACUGAGGGGCUAGAGUGUGGGAGAGGAAAGUGGAAUUCCUGGUGUAGCGGUGAAAUGCGUAGAGAUCCGGAGGAACACCAAAGGCGAAGGCAGUGUCCUGGGGAGUACCUGACGCUCAGGUGCGAAAGCCAGGGGAGCGAACGGG
rnacentral:rRNA from 1 species